rnacentral:lncRNA from 1 species
AAAACUGAGGAAGAAAACUGACAAGGUUUUCAAGGGAAUUUCCAGGUCACCCAGAGAACUCGCCUUGCCUUGUUCUACUUCCUACAAGUCUCUAAGCACUUCAUGCUUUACUAGAAUCUUGUAAAUACAAAAAAAAAAAAAAAAAAAGAAGACACACAACAAGUCAACAACGUAACAAUGUUUGGCAUCACUAAAAAGAUGGUACUUUGGUGAAAGGUAGAAAUUGGAAAAAUAAAGCUCAGGACAACCUUCAAGUUUUUCUCUAUUCAUGCUACCCUCUUUUUUUGGUAACCACAGUUAAUUAAGAGUUAUAAGCAUAAAACAGUGUUUCUUUCAAGUGGCAUGCUUAUGUGGGGGAAGAAAAGAUGAAAGGGAGGCAGCUCAGUGGAGAAGGAGCAUAUUGCUAAUCAAAAAUGAAAUUUCUCCAUCAGGCUGAGAAUCUACGAUGGCCAGUGAGCUGGUAUGAUUCAUACGAAGUUCCAUGUCUCACUUAUCUCUCCAAAUCAUGGUUCUUCACGAGGGAGCCCUUCUUCAGGCUGUUCUUCCGCUCCACGUAGUUGGACGGUACAUAGCCCGUCCUGUUGGCCGCGUUCCUCACCCGCCACCACGUCUUGGAGUCGUCCAGCAACCACAGCCGCUCGUUCUUCUUGAUGUCCAGCUCCUGGUCCUGCUGGGCGGUGUAGUCCCACUUGGCUAUCACAAUAACUUCUUCUGUCAUCUUUCAUGGAGUCCUUCUGCCAGCAAAACAUUUGGAGAUGCUCAUUAGAGAACUACCCGGACACUUCAUCCUUUGCACCAACU